UAUUGGUCUAUCAGAUGUCAGUCAUCUAGAUGGCUUAGUGACGUCAAUAAAAUACAUCGUCAUCAUAUUCAAAUUCAGUUCAAAAUGAGACGCAGACGUUGGACUGGAGAUGUGGAGAAAACACUUCACUAACGUUAAAUAAACUAUUCGUUGUUGACACUUUUAUAACGCCACCAAGAUCGAAAAAACCAUGACCAGGCGGACAUCGGAAUUCCUUUCUAAGUGACAGUGAGGACAAGGCCGUUCCUCCAACUACCGGGCGGAAUUUGGCACAUGGGUGGUUUUAUUUGGGCUCCAAAGUUUUGAGGCAAUUUAAAAUAUAUUUUUUAUUGUUGUACAUAAAAGACUGAAAAAACACCAGGAAAUCAGCUUCAAGUGACUUUUAUUUAAGAAUCUAUUCAUGUAUUCUCAUGAAUAAUAGAGACACCUGAUCGUAUACAACAAAUGUAAGCAAGGUUUGAAUGAUUAUUUUAUUUAAAAAUUAUAUUUGUUUGGGCUUCUUCCAAGUCAAUUUACAGUCUACAAAUUAUUUGUAAUUAUGUUCCGCCCCCCCCAACCAUCCUCUCAAGAAAAACAAUUAGUUGAUCCCUGGGAUAAAGGGAAUGGAAGACGGGCGCCGUCAUCCAUUCCGGGCCACACUCCAUUCACCUGGAUUGUUUUUGUUCUCUUCACCAGGAUAGUGAGACAGGGUGUCUAGGCACCAAAAGAAAAGGACUAGCCGGUGAAAUACUUCAGUUUUCACUGUGCUAUGGUUUUUGGUUCUUUAUCUUCACCAUUUAUUUUUUUCUAUGAGGGGCUAGGCAUGCUCGACAUGGCCUUUCAGGAUGCAAUCAAAGGCACUAGAUCUAAGUAAGAACUUUUAGUCCUUACACAAUGCCAGUUUUUGCCCAAAGACUGCUAAGGUUUUUUGUCAAUUAUGUCCUCCAUUUUUGAUAUUCCAAUCUAUAAGAUGACAACGUACUUGGUUUUGGUGGCUUUUAGUCUUGCGUCAUGCCUACUUUGCAUUUGCCUGUUGUUUUUUGUGAUUUUGACAGCAUCUUUUCCAGGAGCUGUAUUCUCUUAUUAAAGUAACAUCUUUAUGAGAUUAAUUUUGUGAUAUAUUUGUUUCAAUGUGUGUGCAAUUAAUCACUGUGGGUGGAUUAUUAUUAUUAUUAUUAUUAUUAUUAUACCUCUUUCAAUUGGAUGCUGGCCUCCUCCUGCAUGACACCUGUGCUACAUGCUGCUUCCUUUGUCACCUGAGCCUCCUCCUGUAUGCUUGUGAGGAAGCCUCCUGUCACCUGAGCCUCCUCCUGUAUGCUUGUGAGGAAGCCUCCUGUCACCUGAGCCUCCUCCUGUAUGCUCAUGACGAAGCCUCCUGCCACCUCUGUCACCUGACAGACCACCUCCUGCAGACCCCUUGAACUAAAUUCAGCAUCUGCUGCUUCCUCUGCUGGAGCUGGGUCUAGAAGGAAGGAGAGGAGCACUCUUUAAAGUACUCCUCUCCUUCACUCUCUUGUUCUGUCUUUCUCACCUAAAACUCCUACAUCUGCUUCCCUGGCUUCUCCUUCAAAAAAUAGCCAAUUCAAGACUUUAAACCUGUUGAUAUAAAACAAUAACGAUGCAUCUUUAAUCGCUACGAACUUUGUGGUUGUCUUUUUCUACCACGCCGUGCAUCUGUUGCAGAUUUGAGGGGGUGGAUUCAUGCAAUUUAUUCUGGUAGUUACUCCCUCGGAGGACAGUGUCUUCCGUGAACCCUGUUGAAAGACAUUUUUACCAGAAAAGUAUCAUGACUGAAAUGUAUUUUCAUUGACAAAGAUGGUCAAUGAUCAGAAUAAAAUGCUCCUCGCACACAGCGUAACCCCUUCUGCAGACUGAUGUCCCUACGCUUGAUGUUUCUCAGCCACAUCUUCCUCCUGAGUAAUUAGUGUGUAAGGAUUAAUCUCACAUUUUAUUGAAUUCAGCUGGAUGUUGGGCUAUGUCUCCUGUUUUAUAGUUAAUUUAGUAGUAUAGUGGUUGCUAUAACAUCUGUGGUAGUAUAUUGUAGUUUGUAGAUAACCAUAAACGAUUGUCCUCUAUCCCUGUUAUUCACCCUGAUUGUUUUUUAAUAGUACUCUACAGUUAAUUUAAACAGCAGCCAUGUUGUUUUUUAUCUCUGUAUGUGUAAGAGGAGUGUGACGUAGACUCCACAGAAGUCAUAAGAAAAGCAGCCUUUCUUGCUACUCCUGUGACCAGUACCCAAAUGAGGACCUUACAUUCUUAUUGAUCGUGUCCUGCUAUAGUUAGUAGUGUAUAUGGACUCAUCCCUGUAGUCUGCAGACUUCUGGGGUCUACGUCACUCUCCUUCUCUUCAAUCAAAACUGACACUCCUCUCUGUGAGACACCACCUUAACAACCAUUGCCUGGUUAGCAACACCCCAAAUAACGGAGAACAUAGAAUAAAGACCCACACUUUAUCCUGUCCUAUGAGACAUUAGAAUAAAGACCCACACUUUAUCCUGUCCUAUGAAACAUCAGAAUAAAGACCCACACUUUAUCCUGUCCUAUGAAACAUUACAAUAAAGACUCAGACUUUAUCCUGUCCUAUGAAACAUUACAAUAAAGACCCAGACUUUAUCCUGUCCUAUGAAACAUCACAAUAUAGAAAAUCCUAUGAAACAUCACAAUAUAGACCCACACUUUAUCCUGUCCUAUGAAACAUCAGAAUAAAGACCCACACUUUAUCCUGUCCUAUGAAACAUUACAAUAAAGACCCACACUCUAUCCUGUCCUAUGAAACAUUACAAUAAAGACCCACACUUUAUCCUGUCCUAUGAAACAUUACAAUAAAGACCCACACUUUAUCCUGUCCUAUGAAACAUCACAAUAAAGACCCAGACACUUUAUCCUGUCCUAUGAAACAUUACAAUAAAGACCCAGACUUUAUCCUGUCCUAUGAAACAUUGCAAUAAAGACCCACACUUUAUCCUGUCCUAUGAAACAUUACAAUAAAGACCCAGACUCAAUCCUGUCCUAUGAAACAUCAGAAUAAAGACCCACACUUUAUCCUGUCCUAUGAAACAUCACAAUAUAGACCCACACUUUAUCCUAUGAAACAUCACAAUAGAGACCCACACUUUAUCCUGUCCUAUGAAACAUCAGAAUAAAGACCCACACUUUAUCCUAUGAAACAUCACAAUAAAGAUCCACACUUUAUCCUGUCCUAUGAAACAUUGCAAUAAAGACCCACACUUUGUCCUGUCCUAUGAAACAUCAGAAUAAAGACCCACACUUUAUCCUGUCCUAUGAAACAUUGCAAUAAAGACCCACACUUUAUCCUGUCCUAUGAAACAUCAGAAUAAAGACCCACACUUUAUCCUGUCCUAUGAAACAUUACAAUAAAGACCCACACUCUAUCCUGUCCUAUGAAACAUCAGAAUAAAGACCCACACUUUAUCCUGUCCUAUGAAACAUUACAAUAAAGACCCACACGUUAUCCUGUCCUUUGAAACAUUAGAUAAAGACCCACACUUUGUCCUAUGAAACAUUUUCAGUUGCUGCCCUCUUAAACCUGAUUGGUCUUUUGAAGCUCCGCUCUAGUGCUACACAUGGUGUGUGUCUUUCUUUUUUGUUCCAUUUUCCUGUUGAGGAGAUGUGUUACGGAUACAGGUAUCCUGUGUGUAUUUGUUUUCUCUCCUUCUGCCCGAGUCACAGGUGGCAGUCAUCAGUCGCCAAUCUGAAGACACACCUGCUCCUUUUCUCUUACCCAAUCACAUCCCUUUUCCCUUGGUUUAAAAGAAACCCAAUCAGUUGUCUCUGGAGCUAUCUCUCUUUUGUUUUUGCGCCUACAUUUCACUUUGUCCGUUAUCUUGUGUGUAUGUAUUGCUGUGGUGUAUGACUGUUUGUUGGUGGGAAAAGGGGAUACCAAGCCAAGUCGCCCUUGCGCAUACAUUACUCGUAGGAAAACGUUGUCUAAGUACCCUAGUUAGAACUGGGCAGACCACCCACUGUAUUUUAUUGGUUAGUUAGCUAGCUGUUCUUAAAGCAGGCUAGACUAGCUUAGGGGUUUUUGGAUAUUUAUUAUUUCUUUCCUUGGGUCCAGCUCAGACCCUUUUUCCCACACCCCAUUACCGUGUGUUUGAAAUAAACCUAAAGUGUUUGACGUUA